rnacentral:rRNA from 1 species
UUAAGCAUAUCAUAAGCGGAGGAAAAGAAACCAACAGGGAUUGCCUCAGUAACGGCGAGUGAAGCGGCAACAGCUCAAAUUUGAAAUCUGGGGCCUUCGGCUCCCGAGUUGUAAUUUGUAGAGGAUGCCUCGGGGGGUGCUUCGGCCCAAGUUCCUUGGAACAGGAUACCACAGAGGGUGAGAGUCCCGUAUCCGGCCGGCAGUACCCUCCGCGCGAGGCUCCUUCGACGAGUCGAGUUGUUUGGGAAUGCAGCUCUAAGCGGGUGGUAAAUUCCAUCUAAAGCUAAAUACUGGCCAGAGACCGAUAGCGAACAAGUAGAGUGAUCGAAAGAUGAAAAGCACUUUGAAAAGAGAGUCAAACAGUACGUGAAAUUGUUGAAAGGGAAGCGUAUGGGGGCAGACUUGGCCGCGGGGUUCAGGGUGUCUUUUGGCGCCUGUACUUCCCCGUGGGCAGGCCAGCAUCGGUUUUGGGGGUUGGAUAAAGGCGUCGGGAAUGUGGCUCCCCUCGGGGAGUGUUAUAGCCCGUCGCGCAAUGCAGCCACCCGGGAUCGAGGACCGCGCUUCGGCAUGGAUGCUGGCGUAAUGGCCUCAUUCGCCCCGUCUUGAAACACGGACCCAGGAGUCUAACAUCUAUGCGAGUGUUUGGGUGUCAAGCCCGAGCGCGCAAUGAAAGUGAACGGAGGUGGGAGCCCGUAAAAAGGCGCAUCAUCGACCGAUCCUGAUGUCUUCUGAGGGAUUUGAGUAAGAGCAUAGCUGUUGGGACCCGAAAGAUGGUGAACUAUGCGUGAAUAGGGUGAAGCCAGAGGAAACUCUGGUGGAGGCUCGCAGCGGUUCUGACGUGCAAAUCGAUCGUCAAAUUUGCGUAUAGGGGCGACAGACUAAUCGAACCAUCUAGUAGC